rnacentral:rRNA from 1 species
AUUGAACGCUGGCGGCAUGCCUUACACAUGCAAGUCGAACGGUAACAGGUCUUCGGAUGCUGACGAGUGGCGAACGGGUGAGUAAUACAUCGGAACGUGCCUAGUAGUGGGGGAUAACUACUCGAAAGAGUGGCUAAUACCGCCUGAGAUCUACGGAUGAAAGCAGGGGAUCGCAAGACCUUGAGCUACUAGAGCGGCCGAUGGCAGAUUAGGUAGGUGGUGGGAUAAAAGCUUACCAAGCCGACGAUCUGUAGCUGGUCUGAGAGGACGAUCAGCCACACUGGGACUGAGACACGGCCCAGACUCCUACGGGAGGCAGCAGUGGGGAAUUUUGGACAAUGGGCGAAAGCCUGAUCCAGCAAUGCCGCGUGCAGGAUGAAGGCCUUCGGGUUGUAAACUGCUUUUGUACGGAACGAAAAGCCCCGGGUUAAUACCCUGGGGUCAUGACGGUACCGUAAGAAUAAGCACCGGCUAACUACGUGCCAGCCGCCGCAGUAA